CACUCCUGCGGGAGGCAGCAGUGGGGAAUUUUGGACAAUGGGCGAAAGCCUGAUCCAGCAAUGCCGCGUGAGUGAAGAAGGCCUUCGGGUUGUAAAGCUCUUUUGUCAGGGAAGAAACGGUGAAAGCUAAUAUCUUUUGCUAAUGACGGUACCUGAAGAAUAAGCACCGGCUAACUACGUGCCAGCAGCCGCGGUAAUACGUAGGGUGCAAGCGUUAAUCGGAAUUACUGGGCGUAAAGCGUGCGCAGGCGGUUUUGUAAGUCUGAUGUGAAAUCCCCGGGCUCAACCUGGGAAUUGCAUUGGAGACUGCAAGGCUAGAAUCUGGCAGAGGGGGGUAGAAUUCCACGUGUAGCAGUGAAAUGCGUAGAUAUGUGGAGGAACACCGAUGGCGAAGGCAGCCCCCUGGGUCAAGAUUGACGCUCAUGCACGAAAGCGUGGGGAGCAAACAGGAUUAGAUACCCCAGUAGUCCCA
rnacentral:rRNA from 1 species